GGGGGUAUAGCUCAGUGGUAGAGCAUUCGACUACAGAUCGAGACAUCUUCGGUUCAAACCCGGAUGAUCCCU